AGUGAACGCUGGCGGUAGGCCUAACACAUGCAAGUCGAACGGCAGCACAGGAGAGCUUGCUCUCUGGGUGGCGAGUGGCGGACGGGUGAGGAAUACAUCGGAAUCUACUCUGUCGUGGGGGAUAACGUAGGGAAACUUACGCUAAUACCGCAUACGACCUACGGGUGAAAGCAGGGGACCUUCGGGCCUUGCGCGAUUGAAUGAGCCGAUGUCGGAUUAGCUAGUUGGCGGGGUAAAGGCCCACCAAGGCGACGAUCCGUAGCUGGUCUGAGAGAAUGAUCAGCCACACUGGAACUGAGACACGGUCCAGACCCUUACGGGAGGCAGCAGUGGGGAAUAUUGGACAAUGGGCGCAAGCCUGAUCCAGCCAUACCGCGUGGGUGAAGAAGGCCGUCGGGUUGUAAAGCCCUUUUGUUGGGAAAGAAAUCCAGCUGGCUAAUACCCGGUUGGGAUGACAGUACCCAAAGAAUAAGCACCGGCUAACUUCGUGCCAGCAGCCGCGGUAA
rnacentral:rRNA from 1 species